rnacentral:rRNA from 1 species
UUGCACCCGGUGGAUUAGUGGCGAACGGGUGAGUAUCACGUGAGUAACCUGCCCUUGACUCUGGGAUAAGCCCGGGAAACUGGGUCUAAUACCGGAUACGACCAGUCACCGCAUGGUGUGCUGGUGGAAAGCUUUAGCGGUUUUGGAUGGACUCGCGGCCUAUCAGCUAGACGGUGAGGUAAUGGCUCACCGUGGCGAUGACGGGUAGCCGGCCUGAGAGGGUGACCGGCCACACUGGGACUGAGACACGGCCCAGACUCCUACGGGAGGCAGCAGUGGGGAAUAUUGCACAAUGGGCGAAAGCCUGAUGCAGCGACGCCGCGUGUGGGAUGACGGCCUUCGGGUUGUAAACCACUUUCAGCAGGGAAGAAGCUUUUUGUGACGGUACCUGCAGAAGAAGCGCCGGCUAACUACGUGCCAGCAGCCGCGGUAAUACGUAGGGCGCGAGCGUUAUCCGGAAUUAUUGGGCGUAAAGAGCUCGUAGGCGGUUUGUCGCGUCUGCUGUGAAAGCCCGGGGCUUAACCCCGGGUGUGCAGUGGGUACGGGCAGGCUAGAGUGCAGUAGGGGAGACUGGAAUUCCUGGUGUAGCGGUGAAAUGC